rnacentral:tRNA from 1 species
UGCCCCUUAGCUCAACUGGCAGAGCGUCUGACUCUGGAUCAGAAGGUUCCUGGUUCGAAACCAGGAGGGGCAAC